UGUAGGGAGGAACACAGGAUAAUCUACAGUCUGCUGUUUAGUGGGGCAGGGUCUUCUUUCAAUUACAGAGCCAACUUGUGACACCCUAAACACAGAAAUAGUGAGCUGACCGAACUGGGCCGCCAACGCUCAUUCCAACUUGUCUUCAGCAGUUGCCCCAGUCACUGUGGCACAAGCCAAGGGAGAACCCAGAUAUUCCUAAACGGCUUUCAGAUUGCUAAACAGAUGCCAGUCUUUAGUCCAAAGGUGGAUAAUGUGCAAGCUGGGUAGAGGAGGAUGGGUAAGGGUUGAAUCUAGAAGGGCAAAGUGAUCUUCUCUAGUUCACCUAAUUUUUGAGUUAGUUGCUUAGUGUGAUAGGUUUCUCCUUUCACAUUUGUCUUAAAAAUAUAUUCAAUGAUUUGUUUCAAACAAAAGGAAAAUCAGUCUUUCUCUCCCAUUGCCCUUUUGUCUUCUUUGAAAGAAGUUUCCAAAUCUUUCUGGAAAGCUUAAAUCCAAGUGCAGGAGUAACCUGAUUUGGGUUUGUAGCUCUUAGGAGGUUGACACUAAUCUGUGACAGUCACAACUUAGUUGUUAACAGUCACAUGACAAUGUUUUUGUUGUAUGGAAGCCAUUAUAAGAACAGAAAGAAGUCUCCUGGAGUCUGUGGUCAGUUAGCUUAGAACCUGCAGGAAGCAUGCAGACAGUAGCUGGUGAUUGUCAUCUGGUAAGAGCAGUGAAUGUGUAGGUCUACCCUGGAAGGAAAGACUGUGAGGGGCGUGUGGCUCCACCCAAGGGGGAGCACACCUAGUUCAUCUUGGAGGAAGAAAAUGUCUUCUUCAUUCUCUGUGUUGCAAUAAUCAGAUCCAGCGUCUGUCUGGGAUGAUAACGUGUAUAAUGGUGAACUCAUCCCUCAUCAGUUUCCCACAGCGUGCUCCACAUGUUUCUAUGUCACGGGCAGGGUUAGCAUUGGUGAACUGGGGAAACUUGGCAGAGCUUCAAGGUACUGUUCAUGCAGUGUGGUCCACUGACGAUGGGAACAUUUCUGUGUCGCUCAGCACUCCAGGUCUUAAAGACUUGUCUGCCACUGGUGACCUAGCUAGCCUUAUGGCUGUGUUACAGUCUGAAGCCUGUGGAUAACACCCAGGUUUUGAAGGCUUAUCCAGGGCUUUUCUAAGUCAGGCCCCAGCAGCCCUCUGGGUCUAGAUCUAUCUUGCUAAGCUCUUGCACAAUUUUUAGUCACUCUUUUUCCAGCUCCUGGUUUUGGAUCAUCUCCUCAAAGGCAUGGAACUGUUUCUGUUCUAACUGAUGCAGCUUUUGCUCUUUCCCUAGCUCUUGCUGGGUGGCCGUGUUCUGGGAAAAUUCUAACUCUUCCUUCUUCUCUUUAUAUUUUUCACAUUCUUUGGUGUGUGUAUCCAAACUGUUUCUGGUUCUUCUGCCUGGAGAAAAGCAAGUUCUUUAAUUUCUUGACUGUGUCUUCUCAGGAAUGACAACUGCUUUGUCAUCCCGCUACCUGGGGACUUGUCUAUGAAGGACUUGAUGUACUUGCUAUAGAGGAUAAAGGCAUGUUCAAUGUUGCUUUCUUCAGAGUAAACGGAUGCCAUGUAGAUGACUUGAACUCCAGAGUGGAAGCACUGACAGGGUGCAAUAUUGAAUUGCACUGUAUUCUCAAGCUUCGCCCUGUCUUUGGGUGGAAGGGUGAUAUUCCCAUGGUCAGGCAUCAGGACCAAAAGCUUCUGAUUCAGAUUUCUGCCUUCAGAAUACAGCCACAUCGGAAGAGUCUGUUGUUUCAAGUUCCAUUGUGUUUGAAGUAUCUUCUGACGCAGAUACUGUCAAGAGCAGAUGGAUACAGCAAUACGGUUUGUCUGGGUUGCUGAAGCUGAAUAGCAUGUGUGUCCAAUAUGAGGUCUGGUCACUCUCACUGGUCACUUGGGAUGAUCCAAAUUUGUUUAUGGACAACUACAUGGAAACUCCAAAGUUCUAACAGAUGCUGGUAGGUUUGAAGGGAGAACAAUGUCGUAAAGCAGACAGUAGCCAAUAGGAAGGUCAGAUUCCUAGCCAGAAAAUGGGUUGGGUGGAGAGAAUGGCAGGAGUGCUACAGCUCCCCUGAAAGGCUGGGUCUAGGCAGGUGAAAGCCUGCAAGGCAGUUACGACAGUCCCUCUUUUUCUUCCCUUUUUAGGUUAGGGAAAUCAUCUCUGCGUUUCUUAUACGUAUUCAUUAACAAAGUUACUUAUAAUUUGCAGGUGAUAUUUUCAUGUGGUUCCCCACACGGGGCCAGAUCAUGGUCGUAAGGAGCAAGACAGCCCUGGGAACAAAUUGCCAAGUGUGAGUGAGGUGCUAAGGCAGGAGGCCCUUCAGAAGACUGAUGUCUUGAGGAGAGAUGGGAAAGGAGAUCAGUGCUGCUGUUUGCUUUUGUCAGAGAAGCAUCUCUUUGCUCUGGGCAGCAGUUAGUGAAGAGGCUCACACAUACCUGGUCAAAAAUCAGAGACUCUUUGGGGUGCUCAGCCCUAAAUGGGGCAUUAUCACCCCCUCCAAGGCUCAGGGAACUUUGCGGAAGAGGGGCCGGAAAGAAUGUAAGAGCCAGAGGAAGGGGUGGAGUGAUGGAGAGUCCUGUCUUCCAGGCAUGACGCGGCUGUUGUCCUCUCUGACUUCCAGCAGCUCUGAUUACCUGUACAAAACCUGCAUAAGAUUUAGCCCACCAACAUUCUGUCAUGGAGCAGGGAGCAUCUGAUGAGGCCCUGCCAGUCCCUGAGGACAUAUAGGCAGUUAAGUGUUGCUAGGGGAGAGGGUCUCAAAAGGCACUGCCUUUCCCUGAGGAUCUGUGGGCAGUUAGUGGGACCCUUUCUCCAGUGGUAUAGCUAUUGGUGAGUUGUCCUGCUCCUGUAAUAACCCUAAUUGAGCUCAUUGAUUGACCAAGGGAAAGUAGGAGGAGCACUGGUUGAAAAGAGGAGGAUGAUCAGUAGGAGAGAGAGGGCUCAUGGGGGUGAAUGUAGUCAAAAGUACGUUGUAUACAUGAAUGAAAAUGUCCAAGUGGAACCUACUGUUUUGUUAUUAGCAUGUUAAUAUAUGUUAAUAAAAAUGAAACUAAAACAACAACCAAGCAAACAACCUGGCCUACUAAGAAGAUGCCCAUAUGGGGUUUAAUCGGAGGAGGAUUCAACAUCGGAGGAGACUGUUAAAAUAGGACAAGUUGACUAGGGAUGUAGCUCAGUGAGGGAAUGUUUAUCUAGCGUGGACAAAGCCCUGAAAUCAGUCCUCAGAACUGCUAGAUACUGCUUUAAAUGGCAGGUGUAACAUGUUUUCAUCUCGACUGGAAUGUAGCCCAAAGUCCUUGGAAGAACACAAGAACUAUCUACUACACCAUCUGGAUGUUACUUUUUUGAUGGAUCUCCUUCCUUUUUGUCUGCAUUCAUAUAUGUGUCUAUGUAUGCAUUCGCACAGAGAUGUAUGUGUAGUAUACAUAUAUUCUGGCUCUAUGACUGUGUAUAUGUACACAUAUAUUCACAUGUGGCCAAGGUAUAUAAAAUUAUAUACAUGUCUCUUAUAGUUUUCUCUUAUUUUUUUAAAUGUAUGUAUUUAUUUUUACUUUUCACUUUUUUGUUUGUUUUUCCAGACAGGGUUUCUCUGUGUAGCUCUGACUGUCCUGGAACUCACUCUGUAGACCAAGCUGGCCUUGAAUUCAGAGAUCUGCCUACCUCUGCCUCCUCUGCCUCCUGAGUGCUGGGAUUAAAGACGUGUGCCACCACCACCUGGCUUAUUUUUACUUUUUAAAAAAAUAUGUGUUUAUGACUGUUUUACCUGCAUGAAUGUCUCUGCACCACAUGUGUGCAGUGCCUGCAGAAGCCAGAAGAGGGCAUUGCAGAGCUUGGAAUUGAAAUUGUAAAUGCUUGUGAGCCACAUGUGGGUGCUGAGAAUCGACUCCAGUCCUCUAUAAGAGCAGAUGGUGCUCUUACCCACCGAGUCAUCAUCUCUGUAGCCCUGUAUGUGUUCUUUAUUAACACGCAAUUAUGAGAUGAAUUUGAAAUAAGUAACUUAAUUAACCAACUCAGUAUUUUCCAAAAUGAAAAGCAAGAACUACAUCACAAGUCUGAAAUCCGACCAACUCUAAUAGGUAUCACUCCAGAUUCAGAACACUGUGCUAUGGCCUGAGCUUGGAGGUCAAGGGUUCUCUUUAAAUGAAACAUCUGCUGAGUCCCAAACUGUUAGACUUGGAGCAGCAGCAGACCCAGGAACAGGGCUCUCAGUUUUCUCAGAAUGCUGGGCCUUGGCUUCAUCUUGCCUCUUAGACUUCAGGUAUUUGUGUGUGUGGUAGUUUAAAUGAGAUGUCCACUAUAGUCUUGGCAUCUGAUGCUUGGUCCCCAGCUGGUGGCACUGCUUGGGUAGGUUGAGGAGAUGUGGCCUUAUUGGAGGAAGUCUGUCACUGGGAGGGGCCUUCUGAGCUUUGUGCUUGUGGUUCAGGAUAGGAGCCUGCAGCUCCCUGCUCUGGCCACCAUGUCUUAGCUCAGCCAUCGCGGACUGUGACCCUUUGGAACUGUAAGCCCAAAUAGACUUCCUUCCAUGAGUUGCCUUGAUUGUGGUGUUUGUCACUUGAGUAGAAAGUAACUAGGACAAUGUGAUGGUGAGUUGGCAAUUUUUUUUUUUUUGUCUUUGGUGAUGGUGUGCUCGUAUUUUUGUGAUUCUGUUUUAUUUGAAGCUUGAUGAGGUGUUCUUCAGAGAGUUAAGAUAGCAGAAUUGUAAAUGUGAAUUCCUGUGGCCUUACAAAUGGAGUUUGUGAAAUUUUAUUUUAUGUGUUUUGCAUGUAUGUAUAUAAAUGCACCAAUUUUUGUGCAAUGACUGAGGAAGCCAGAAAAGGCAUUGAAUUCCCUUGGGACUAGUUACAGGGGGUUGUGAACUGCCAUGUGGGUGCUGGGAAUUGAAUCUGGUCCUUUGGAAGAGCAUCAAGUGUGCUGCUAACCACUGAGCCAUCUCUCAGGCUCAUAGUAUCAAAAAUUUCUUGAGCUUCUGCAACUGUCUUUCCUCAGAGAUAUUUCAGUACCAACUGGUCUGUUACUGGAUUUGGGGGUCCUUUAAUGGUCACCAGACAAUACCAGGAAAAUCAGGGUCCCCUUUUAGGGUUCUUUGUUGCAUUAAUAAAAGAGUGGAUUCAAAUUAAUUAAUAAUAAAUAAUUAUAUAAAUAAAUAAUUAACAAAUGAUUCAAAUUAAUAAAAGAGUGGAUUCAAAUGUGAACUUAGGACACUUUUACUAGAGUUUAAAAGAAAGCCCUCCCUGGGCAGGUAAGCUGUAAGCCUCAGCUGCUGCUCAGAGGUUGAAGGUGGAGGAGAGAAAGAAAAGUCCAUUCCAUGGAAGCCAGCAUGGAGGUCAGACGUGUGGCAGAGAAGCAGUCACAUGGUAGAAAAAGAGUAAGAAAGCCCACAGUGUUAGGGAAAAGCCAGCAGUGUUAGGAAACCAUGCUUAGAAAAGAGAUAGAAGAAAAGGAAAAUGUAUGCUUUCCGAAUAAUUCAGAAAAGUGGGCAGACUUACUGCUCCACAUGGCUGCAGCUUGUCCGUAAGCUUCUGAUGACUCUUUUUUCCCCAUAUUAAUCUGUGUCUGUGAGAGUGUAUGUGUAUGAGUUCACAUGCGAUAGCACACAUGUGGAGCUCAGAGAAUAAUCCACAGGAGACAGUUCUCUUCUUCUACCAUGUGGGAUUCGGGGGAUUGAACCCAGGUUCAUAGAGGCUUGGAAGUGAAUGCCUGUACUUGCUGAGCCAACUUGUUUGUUUUGGGAUGGUCCCAUGUACUUCAGAAUGGACUUUACCUUGCUUGUAGCCAAAGAUGUCGUCUACAUUUCUGAUUCUCCUGCCUCCACCCUUCAAGUGCUGGGAUUAGAGGAUGAACUAACACAGCCAGGUUAUGUGGGGCUGGAGACGGAACCCAGGGCUCUGUGCAUACCAUGCUAGCAUUCUACCAGCUGACCUGCCCCUCCAGUUCUCAUUUAUUCUUUAAAUACAUGAUGUAGCAUCAAUAUUCUUUCAUGUUAUUAAAUAUUAUUUUAAUAUUUAAUAUAAUUUUUUGGCGGUACAAUGUCUUAUAUAUCUGAACUAUAAUUAAGCAUUUAUGUAUUGUUAAAAGUAUUUUGAACUUUAUAUACAAAUUCCUCAAUAAGCACUGAUGCAUGUAAAUGCUAUUUCCAUUUCUGGUUAAACAUAAAUAAAUGUUUUUAAAAGUUA